CAGAUCCAACAGGAGUGGUGGGCAUUUUUGUACAUGUGAUCAGGAGCAUUCCAAUACCCGUACUGUUUACUGUGCCGGAAAAAGGAUUUUGCGUGUCUUAAUACUACAAAUGUCGAAAGCCAAAACCGCUGAAUCUGGUCACACUUUGCAAUGGUUGCAGUGGGGCUGGAGCCUAUGUCAGCCAUCAUGGGGUGAGAGGCGGGGUACACCCUGGACAGGUGGCCUGUCUACCGCAGGGCUAACACACAGAGACAGGCAACCAUCCAGAUGCAGAUUCACACCUACAGCAAAAUUUGGAAUCACUGAUUAACUGAAGAUGCACAUCUUUGGACUGUAAGAGGAAGAUGCAAACGCCAAACAGAAUAGCCAAAAAUAGGUGGUGGAUUUGUACCCAGGUACCCAGAAAAAUAAAUAAAUAAAUCCUGUUAAUUAAUGCAUGUAUUUAUGUAUUUUUCUUUAUUUAUUUUAAUUUUAGGCACCAUUGGUUCACUAUACAGUGCCACACUGCUAUCUAUUAUUGGAAAAUUGAACACAAGAAGAAA